rnacentral:rRNA from 1 species
CAUGCAAGUCGAACGGCAGCACGGGAGCAAUCCUGGUGGCGAGUGGCGAACGGGUGAGUAAUGUAUCGGAACGUACCUUUCAGUGGGGGAUAACGUAGCGAAAGUUACGCUAAUACCGCAUAUUCUGUGAGCAGGAAAGCAGGGGAUCUUAGGACCUUGCGCUGAUUGAGCGGCCGAUAUCAGAUUAGCUAGUUGGUGAGGUAAAGGCUCACCAAGGCGACGAUCUGUAGCGGGUCUGAGAGGAUGAUCCGCCACACUGGAACUGAGACACGGUCCAGACUCCUACGGGAGGCAGCAGUGGGGAAUUUUGGACAAUGGGCGCAAGCCUGAUCCAGCCAUGCCGCGUGAGUGAAGAAGGCCUUCGGGUUGUAAAGCUCUUUCAGCCGGGAAGAAAACGCAUGGGUUAAUACCCUGUGUGGAUGACGGUACCGGAAUAAGAAGCACCGGCUAACUACGUGCCAGCAGCCGCGGUAAUACGUAGGGUGCGAGCGUUAAUCGGAAUUACUGGGCGUAAAGCGUGCGCAGGCGGUUUGUUAAGAUAGGCGUGAAAUCCCCGGGCUCAACCUGGGAACUGCGUUUAUGACUGGCAGGCUAGAGUAUGGCAGAGGGGGGUGGAAUUCCACGUGUAGCAGUGAAAUGCGUAGAGAUGUGGAGGAACACCGAUGGCGAAGGCAGCCCCCUGGGCCAAUACUGACGCUCAUGCACGAAAGCGUGGGUAGCAAACAGGAUUAGAUACCCUGGUAGUCCACGCCCUAAACGAUGUCAACUAGGUGUUGGGUGGGUAAAACCAUUUAGUACCGGAGCUAACGCGUGAAGUUGACCGCCUGGGGAGUACGGCCGCAAGGUUAAAACUCAAAGGAAUUGACGGGGACCCGCACAAGCGGUGGAUGAUGUGGAUUAAUUCGAUGCAACGCGAAAAACCUUACCUACCCUUGACAUGUCCGGAAGCCCUUAGAGAUUUGGGUGUGCUCGAAAGAGAGCCGGAACACAGGUGCUGCAUGGCUGUCGUCAGCUCGUGUCGUGAGAUGUUGGGUUAAGUCCCGCAACGAGCGCAACCCUUGUCGUUAAUUGCCAUCAUUCAGUUGGGCACUUUAACGAGACUGCCGGUGACAAACCGGAGGAAGGUGGGGAUGACGUCAAGUCCUCAUGGCCCUUAUGGGUAGGGCUUCACACGUCAUACAAUGGUCGGUACAAAGGGUUGCCAACCCGCGAGGGGGAGCUAAUCCCAGAAAGCCGAUCGUAGUCCGGAUCGUAGGCUGCAACUCGCCUGCGUGAAGUCGGAAUCGCUAGUAAUCGUGGAUCAGC